rnacentral:rRNA from 1 species
CGUAGGUGGCAAGCGUUGUCCGGAUUUACUGGGCGUAAAGAGCACGCAGGCGGUCGGCCAAGUCGAGUGUGAAAGCCCCCGGCUCAACUGGGGAGGGUCACUCGAUACUGGUCGACUUGAAGGCGGGAGAGGGAAGCGGAAUUCCCGGUGUAGUGGUGAAAUGCGUAGAUAUCGGGAGGAACACCAGUGGCGAAGGCGGCUUCCUGGCCCGUUCUUGACGCUCAUGUGACGAAAGCGUAGGGGAGCGAAACGGGAUUAGACUACCCCGGUAGUCCUAGCUAGUAAACGAUGGACACUAGGUGUUGGUGGUAUCCAACCCCGCCAGUGCCGAAGCUAACGCAUUAAGUCGUCCCGCCUGGGGAGUACGGCCGCAAGGCUA